rnacentral:lncRNA from 1 species
CAGGCAAUACUUUGAGUGACAUCAGUUUUCAAUUAAAUUUGACGCUGACCGUUAAAGCUGGUUUAUUUGAUUUUGGAACAUAUAUAGUAAGCAUUGGUAAGUAAAUAUAUUUUUUCAGAUAUGAAAGCACUCAAGGUAGAUCUUCUGCCUUUUUGGAUUGUAAAAUAGCAGAAUAGGGUUUGUCUAGAAUUUGAUAUAACAAACAUUGUGUGAGUAUUGCAUGGCAAUACAUACAUUGUAGUCCACUUCUGGUUAAAAAUUCAAUUUUUGGAACAAAAUUCUAAUUUGAGCUAAAACAUCAAACAUGAUGUAAAAGAGGGGCAAAAGAUACCAGAUGAACUCAUAAAUUGAAAAAUAAACUGACAACUAUAUGUACACUAUAUUAAACAAAUAUCAAAUCAAUAUCUUCUAGCAAGACGAAAAAAAAUUUGUUGAAAACUGAUUAUUUCAGUAUAUUUUCUUUAGUCCAAGCACCAUAACUCUGCACAAAAUCAUCAGACUAGAACAAAAUCUGCAACUUGUCAUGAUAAAACUAUAAACCAAUUAUCAAAUCAAUAUCUUUAAGCAUAACAAAAAAAAAAGGUGAAAAACUGAUUAUCUUAGCAAAUAUUUAAGGACCAUAAUUUUGUCCUGAAAAAUAUGAAAUUACAUUGAGUAAUGCAGGCGAGAUACACCAGCGUGUGUGCUCUUGUUUAAUACAGUAAUUGUUAUGAUUUUGUGUUAAAAUAAUUCGGAAUAAGCCAUUGAACUAAAGCCAGGAAUACAAUAUAUUUGUUUUUAUCUCAAUUUAUGUUAAGGCUAUGUAAUAAAAGAUUUGGUUUAUACAUCAAUGUAAAAAAUGAUAAACAUGUUAUGUUGUUGUUAACACUGCUACAUGUUUUAAUACUAUUUACAGGUAUUUCAUCAGUUUGUGUUGUUGGAGUGGCAAAGGCUCUUGACUAUAUUUUGACUACAUUUGAAGCUGAAAGUAAAGCUGGUUACCUUCAUUUUGUAACAUAUAGUUAACAUUGUG